rnacentral:rRNA from 1 species
UACGGAGGAUGCGAGCGUUAUCCGGAUUUAUUGGGUUUAAAGGGUGCGUAGGCGGAUCGUUAAGUCAGUGGUCAAAUUGAGGGGCUCAACCCCUUCCCGCCAUUGAAACUGGCGCUCUUGAGUGGAAGAGAAGUAUGCGGAAUGCGUGGUGUAGCGGUGAAAUGCAUAGAUAUCACGCAGAACCCCGAUUGCGAAGGCAGCAUGCCGGCUUCCGACUGACGCUGAAGCACGAAAGUGUGGGGAUCGAACAGG